rnacentral:rRNA from 1 species
AAUGAACGCUGGCGGCGCGCCUAAUACAUGCAAGUCGAGCGAGAAGACGUAGCAAUACGUUUGUAAAGCGGCGAACGGGUGAGGAAUACAUGGGUAACCUACCCUCGAGUGGGGAAUAACUAGCCGAAGGUUAGCUAAUACCGCGUACGCUCCUUGGACUUCGGUUCAGGGAGGAAAGCGAUACCGUGGGUAUCGCGCUCUUGGAUGGGCUCAUGUCCUAUCAGCUUGUUGGCGAGGUAACGGCUCACCAAGGCUUCGACGGGUAGCUGGUCUGAGAGGACGAUCAGCCACACUGGCACUGCGACACGGGCCAGACUCCUACGGGAGGCAGCAGUAAGGAAUAUUGCGCAAUGGGCGAAAGCCUGACGCAGCGACGCCGCGUGGGGGA